rnacentral:misc_RNA from 1 species
AGCAAGUAAUUGGCCCUCAAAAAGGUAUGAUCUUUCCAUAUUGUAGUUUUGUCAUUGGAUUUAUUUGGUAUUGCUAUUUGUAGCUGCUAUUGAGAAACACACUAUUUUGAUUAUGUUGGUUAAACGCAAUUAAAAUGUCAUUUUAAGGUAGAACUUAGAUAGUUUGGUCAUAAACACUUCAAUAGCCAAAAAGCUGUUUGAAAUUACUCUCUACGACAUCUAAAAGGUUGUUUUUUCAAAAAUGUAGUUUCAACCUCAAUACUUCUGGAGUUAAUGUACUUGAACAACAUAUUAAAUUCUACAUCUAACAUUAACCAUUUUCAGAUUCAUAUGAAGCAUGAGACAUUGCUUGAUAUCUUUUCUGUGUUUCAGCUUGGGUUUAAUCUUUUCUCUUAUGUUCCUCAUUCCCUGCUUAUUUUCAUUAGUCUGUUUCUCUUAUGUUCCUCAUUCCCUGCUUAUUUUCAUUAGUCUGUUUUAUGGCUAUUCUGGGCUUGCACACAGAUUUACCCAUGCAUAUGCAUUUCUUUAAUAUGUAAAGGUUGAGUUGCAUUGAAGUUUGGUAGGAGUUCUCAAUAGGCUUGCAAGUUGGAAGUUGGGAUGUAUGGUUGCAAAUUGUUUAGUGUUUUUAAUGCAGGAUAGGAAGUUUAAAAUUUUAUUUAUGAAUUUUAAUAAUUAUAGAAUUAAGAAAUUUAAAGAGUUUUUAUUAUUAGGGAAUUUUAUUAUUAUUGGUUCAUCAUUUCCUAAUUUAUCUUAUUU